rnacentral:rRNA from 1 species
GGCGCACACUUUUCGCUCCCAACCCCAAUGUGAACGUUACCAAACUGUUGCCUCGGCGGGAUUUCUGCCCCGGGCGCGUCGCAGCCCCGGACCAAGGCGCCCGCCGGAGGACCAAUUUACAAACUCUUUUGUAUAUCCCAUCGCGGAUUCUUUACAUUCUGAGCUUUCUCGGCGCUCCUAGCGAGCGUUUCGAAAAUGAAUCAAAACUUUCAACAACGGAUCUCUUGGUUCUGGCAUCGAUGAAGAACGCAGCGAAAUGCGAUAAGUAAUGUGAAUUGCAGAAUUCAGUGAAUCAUCGAAUCUUUGAACGCACAUUGCGCCCGCCAGUAUUCUGGCGGGCAUGCCUGUCCGAGCGUCAUUUCAACCCUCGAACCCCUCCGGGGGGUCGGCGUUGGGGAUCGGCACUUACCUGCCGGCCCCGAAAUACAGUGGCGGUCUCGCCGCAGCCUCUCCUGCGCAGUAGUUUGCACACUCGCACCGGGAGCGCGGCGCGUCCACGGCCGUAAAACAACCCAAACUUCUGAAAUGUUGACCUCGGAUCAGGUAGGAAUACCCGCUGAACUUAAGCAUAUCAAAAGCCGGAGGAAA